rnacentral:lncRNA from 7 species
GACGGCACACACACAACCUGGCCGAAGCAUUACGCUUCAUCUAAUUCGAACCGCCCACAGUCGGAUCAACGACUGAGCUCCCAUCCUCCAUUUUCCGGCGGCGCGAGACAGCAGCGCGGGCUGGCGGCGGCAUCAUGCCUGGAGAACGCCUGCUCCUCGCUCUAGGGCCCCAAUCUCUAUUCCGAACAACUCCACAUGAAGUGCUCGAUACACUGAUCUCGAUCGCUUCCUCCUUUACACCGAUUAAUACGCUCGAAUACAUGAUCGUGAUGAGCAACGACCCUACCCCGGUGAGUAAUUAUUGGCAUAUCUUUGCUCUAACCCAACCCAACAUCUGUGGAAACGACGGCGAGGACGUGAUGAACAUGAGAUGGGGACAUUACUGGCACCUAGGAUCGUGGAGGCGCUAGGCCAUGGCAUGGCAUGAUCCAUGGUAGAUUCCAGGCUCCGGUGAGGAAUUGUCAAGCCGCCACGGCCACCCGUGCUUGUUUCCGGUGUUGCCCAUGAUUACCUCCUUCCGGUGAACCCCUCUGGUAGCCUGCGGAGCUCGACACGACGUCGAUCGUGGUGGUUGACGGUUGCGGUCUGCGGUGGCUGCUAAACUCGAUUCUCCACGCACGGUGCCCCUCACGGUGGUUGUGGGCAAUCUACAGAGCUGGGAUGGGAGAGGACGUGCCCGCAACGCGGCUUUAUAGGCCUCCGCCAUGAAGAUGAUUUCUAGGUCGUCGCAAUGACAUCUCAGAUUCUAUGCGCGGUGGUUGGGUUUUCGGUUUGAGCCGAGCAUCGCGGGGAAGGGGAAUCCCUG